rnacentral:rRNA from 1 species
CAGUAGCCGCGGUAAUACAGAGGGUGCAAGCGUUAAUCGGAAUUACUGGGCGUAAAGCGCGCGUAGGUGGUUUGUUAAGUUGGAUGUGAAAGCCCCGGGCUCAACCUGGGAACUGCAUCCAAAACUGGCAAGCUAGAGUACGGUAGAGGGUGGUGGAAUUUCCUGUGUAGCGGUGAAAUGCGUAGAUAUAGGAAGGAACACCAGUGGCGAAGGCGACCACCUGGACUGAUACUGACACUGAGGUGCGAAAGCGUGGGGAGCAAACAGGAUUAGAGACCCGCGUAGUCCCUGUCUCUUAUAC